rnacentral:tRNA from 1 species
GCCUUCGUUGUGUAACGGUAGCACACUCGGCGCGUAUUUGAGUGGUCCAGGGUUCGAGUCCGGGCGAAGGCA